AGUGAACGCUGGCGGCGUGCUUAACACAUGCAAGUCGAACGAGAACGGGCUAUAGCUUGCUAUAGUUGUCAGCUAAGUGGCGCACGGGUGAGUAAUGUAUAGGUAAUAUGCCUCUUACUAAGGGAUAACAAAUGGAAACGUUUGCUAAUACCUUAUACUCCUUAUUAACAGAAGUUAAUAAGGGAAAGAUUUAUUGGUAAGAGAUUAGCCUGUAUUGUAUCAGUUAGUUGGUGGGGUAAUGGCUUACCAAGACUAUGACACAUAACUGGUUUGAGAGGAUGAUCAGUCACACUGGAACUGAGACACGGUCCAGACUCCUACGGGAGGCAGCAGUGGGGAAUAUUGCACAAUGGACGAAAGUCUGAUGCAGCAACGCCGCGUGGAGGAUGACACAUUUCGGUGCGUAAACUCCUUUUAUAUGAGAAGAUAAUGACGGUAUUAUAUGAAUAAGCACCGGCUAACUCCGUGCCAGCAGCCGCCGCGG
rnacentral:rRNA from 1 species